UACAGAGGUCCCAAGCGUUGUUCGGAUUCACUGGGCGUAAAGGGUGCGUAGGUGGCUACUUUAAGUUUGAUGUGAAAGCUCCGGGCUCAACCCGGAAAUGGCAUUGAAGACUAUUGAGCUAGAGGUUUGGAGGGGGGACUGGAAUGCUUGGUGUAGCAGUGAAAUGCGUAGAUAUCAAGCGGAACAUCAGUGGCGAAGGCGAGUCCCUGGACAACUCCUGACACUGAGGCACGAAAGCUAGGGGAGCAAACAGG
rnacentral:rRNA from 1 species